rnacentral:ncRNA from 2 species
UAGUCCGGCAUUGUAAGGCGAUAUAAGAGGUGCAGAAUAGGUGGGAGCCGGGGUAAAACAUUACCUCCCCGGCACCAAUGAAAUACCACUACUGUUACUGUUGCCUUACUUACAUGAUCAGGUGGAACAAGUGCCAAGGUUAUUGCAACCUCCUGGCAUAAGGUUUCUUGUUCUGCGUUCAGUCAUGUCGUCAUUCCUGGCCGCAAGGCAGAAGACCGAGCUUGCGGUCAACGCGUCCGUUGCGCGACUCCCGGGUGUG